CAGAGCCCAGAAAACCAGGUAGUCAUCACUCCACCAUGUGAGACCAGGACAUUUUUGGCUCUGGAGUGGUAUGACCACAAUUCAUUGCCUGACCUAAAGGAGAUACACAAGAAAUGUCUCUGAAAUUGAAGGGUGAACUGAAGAUGAAUGAAUGUAAGAAGAAAGGAAGAAGUGAGUGGAUGAACUAAUGGAUUGAGUUGAAAAUGAAAACAAUGGAGGAUACCAAGAAUUCCAAACAGCCAUUGCAGGCAGUGAUGAGACAGUAUUCGCUACAAAGCAUGAGAGAGGAUACAUACUGGGAUUAAGAGGACACCAAAACGCAAGUAUAAUUCAAGCCCUGUCUCUCCCAGACCAUGUCAGCCUGUAACCCAAGGCGGUGAUGGCCUUUUCAGUAAAGAAAAGCAUCCCUGGGAUACGUCUUCACUGGAGUACUUGGCCAGGAGAGAGGAGGAAUCCUGGGAGGCUGAGGGGUUGCAAGAGUCUGUCAGAUCCAUAUGCAGCAUUUGGCUAUCUAAGGCUAUGGUUUGGAAACUUCAGUUUGCAGAAGAAUCCACCAGGGAUUUGGUGAUAGUCCAGAGUGGGACCCAGGAUUCUGCAAUCAGGAAGUGGCCAGCAAAGUUACAGAUCACCCUGGAUACCAAAGUCAAGACUGUAUGAAGUAGAGCCACAGCCAACCCUCAAUAACCAUAAAGCUUGAGCAAGGAAUGAAUGUCUUCUGUUUUAAGAGAUUUGGGAGUCAUUUGUUACUACAGCAAGCAAAACUAUUCCAUUCUGAUCAUACCAUGGCAUACCUGAUGAGACCCUUUGAUCUGAAGAAAAGCUCUAAUUAAUUGUGCGCCAGACAAAUGUUAGCCACUCACUUUUACAAGCACCAAUGGAAUAUAAAUAAUUUUCUUGAGUUUUUAUCAGCUUUGUCCUCUGGAGGUUCAGCUUUAUCCCCAAGCUAGUAAAGAGAUGACUAAAAAUUCCAGUUAUCAUAUCCAUACAAAAACAGGUCAUCUCUUUCUGAGUCUCUUCCAUACAGAAAAAUUUCCAAAAGCUCUGUUAAAGCUUCAAUAGCAUCUAAUGAUAGUGAUAAUGAAAAGCAUGGGCUAUAGAGUCACAGAAUCUGAGUCCAAAUACUGACUGGGUGAUCUUGGGCAAGGGACUUAGUCACUGUGUCUAUAUCUGUAAAAUGGGAAUAACAUUAGGAUCAUUGCCAAGAAUAAAUGAGUACGUACAAGGUUUUUGGACCGGUGCCUGGUACAUAGGACAUACUUUCUGCAUGUUAGUAGUGGACAUCUGUCAUGGCCAAUUUUCACCCAGAAUUACACAGGGAAGGGAAUUCUGGGAAGCAUAGUUCCAGCUUGGCCAGAUUGACAGCUAGUACAGGAUGGGAAGGUAGAUCACAGCAGGCUGUUCAGUUAGGCUAAGGAUUUGGGUGGGGGGACAGAGUAAAGUCUUUGAAUUUUUUUCUUUCCUUCUUCUUUUUUGUAGAG